AUAAAUUACUGAAGGCAUUUUUAUUUUUUAGCAAAAUUUAAUCUUGAGAAGUUCAACGGAGCUGAUCUAGCCAAAGUGUUUUCCAUUACUUACGAAACCUUAACGGACGACGAAGAGAAUCAGAUAUUGGGUGUUAAACACGUAGGAAACUUAGAAGGGGCUAGUUUAAACUAUAUUCCUUUAUUUACUAUUUCUGAUUUUGCAGUUAUGAUUAGGUGGGGCGAGCAAUCAAUGCCGAUGCGACAUAAGGAGAUCAAUGUAAUUAAUUUUCCUCCAUACAUAAAAUUCGUUUAUGAGUUUAUGUUAUCCAUUGCCAGUGAGAAGCUAAAAAGUAGAGUCAAUGUAAGUAUUUGUUAAUUUUAAAUCUUACGUUAAGACCUUAGAAUUAUAAGAAGAAUCCGUAUAGGCCACACCAAACUUACUCACGGCUUCCUGAUGUCAUCAGAUAUCCGGCCUAUCUGUUUAACAUGCCAGUGCCAACUUCCCGUGAACCACAUUAUUACCGAAUGUCACCAGUUCAGUGUAGUAAGACAACAGCUCAAACUCAAACCGCAGCUAUGUGACAUUCUAAGUGAUACCAAGCAGUUAGACAGAGUUCUUCAGUUUAAAAAAAUAUCAUUGUAUCAUAAACUUCAAUUUUUUUUAUGACAUAACUUGUUAAUGCUCUUUAAUCUUGUAAACCUCUUGUAAUCUUGUUUGUAAUCGUCCCGUGCGAGUGGCCAUAGUUGCCGAACACGUUAAUGUAAA
rnacentral:lncRNA from 1 species